AUGCCUCUCCCGCCCCUUUUUUUGGAGGGGAGGGUCACAGAACCCCUACCUCAUUUAGUGCACUGGACAGCUGUUGCUCAGAUACUCAAUCAGGUAGUAGCUGAACCUACGAGGGGGGAAGCCAUUUUAGAUUUGGUGCUGGUGAGUAGUGAGGACCUAGUUGAGGAAAUGGUUGUAAGGGACAACCUUGGCUCGAGUGAUCAUGAGCUAAUUCAGUUUAAACUAAAUGGAAAGAUUAACAGAAUUAAAUCAGAGACUAAGGUUUACAAUUUCAAAAGGGCUAACUUUAAUAAAUUAAGGGGACUGGUUAGGGAAGUGGACUGGACUAACAUAUUUAGGGAUCUAAAGGCGGAAGGCGCCUGGGAUUAUUUCAAGUUGAAGUUGCAGGAGGUGUCGGAGGCCUGUAUCCCAAGAAAGGGAAAACGGUUCGUAGGCAGGAGAUUUAGACCUAGCUGGAUGAACAAGGAUCUCAGAGUGGUCAUUAAGAAAAAACAGAAAGCGUACAGGGAGUGUAAGCGGGGUGGGGGUGGGGGGAGGAAUAGCAAAGAAACCUACCUUAUUGAGGUCAGAGCAUGUAGAGAUGGAGUGAGAAAAGCCAAAAGCCGAGUAGAGUUGGACCUUGCGAGGGGAAUUAAAACCAAUAGUAAGAGCUUUUAUAGCCAUAUAAAUAGGAAGAAAAGAAAGAAAGAAAGAAAGAAAGAAAGAAAGAAAGAAAGAAAGAAAGAAAGAAAGAAAGAAGUGGGACCGCUUAAGACUGUAGAUGGAGUGGAGAUUAAGGAUAAUCUAGGCAUGGCACAAUACCUAAAUGAAUAUUUUGCUUCGGUAUUUAAUGAGGCAAAUGAAAGGCCGAGGAACAGUAGAAGCGAGACGGAUGGGAGUAAAGGAGUGGGGAUUGACAUUACCGUAUCCGAGGUAGAAGCCAAACUUAAACAGCUUAACGGGACUAAAUCGGGCGGACCGGAUGAUCUUCAUCCGAGAAUAUUAAAAGAACUGGCGCGGGAAAUUGCAAGCCCGUUAGCGAUAAUUUUUAAUGAAUCCAUAAACUCGGGGGUGGUACCGUUGGACUGGAGAAUAGCUAAUGUGGUUCCUAUUUUCAAGAAGGGGAAAAAAAGUGACCCGGGUAACUACAAGCCUGUUAGUCUAACAUCUGUAAUAUGCAAGGUCUUGGGAAAAAUUUUGAAGGAGAAAGUAGUUAAGGACCUUGAGGUCAAUGCCAAUUGGGACAAAUUACAACACGGUUUUACGAAAGGUAGAUCGUGCCAAACCAACCUGAUCUCCUUCUUUGAGAAAGUAACAGAUUUCUUAGAUAAAGGAAAUGCGGUGGAUCUAAUAUACCUCGAUUUCAGUAAAGCGUUUGAUACGGAAUUAUGA
rnacentral:lncRNA from 1 species